ensembl:lincRNA
GAGAACCAGACCACAGAGCCAGCACAAGUGACCACACAGGCUUCCAGAAUAUGCAGCGAAAAGACCACCACAGCAGAACUGAGAGCUGUCACCUCACAGCAACCCAUGGUGACAGACGCAGAGUGGUUUGGUCUGAGUGCCGAGGAACAAUUGGCCUGGGCUAAGAGUACUAAAGAUCCUCGGAUUGCAGUAGGCUCCUGUUCCCCACUAGAAAAGAAAAUUAAGGUGGCACCCAUUCUUCAGGAGUGAGAAAACUGUUAGUCCAAAAGUUCCAACAGGAGAGUGAAACAGUUGAUAAACUCAAGACCGUGUCUCCUGACUUCCGGUUUGCUCAAGCAGAUGCCUACUACCAUCAACAGCAACAGGAAAUGAUCAGAGAAUCAUGGAAUUAUAAACCAGAGGCAGAAUGGGACGCUAACCCAGAAGAAGAGAUGAAGCCAAAAUGCAAAAAAACAGAGAACGGUAAAAAAUGGGACUAUCUAGUAACCGAGAGGGAGAUGAAUCACAUAGAGAAACAUAUCCACAGAGCUGAGCGGGCUAGAGGCCUGAGGGACCACAAAUACCGACUCAUCCCUCAGAACCUCUCAUGUGAAAUGCUUUCCCCAAAGCCAGAGGAUGAGAAGAAAAAAACUAUCCCUAUCCCGAGACCACAUAAAACAGUACCCAAAAAGCCGAAAAUGGCCUGGGCAAAGGAGCAGAUGAAGCAACAUAAAGACCG